AACGAACGCUGGCGGCAGGCCUAACACAUGCAAGUCGAACGCCGUAGCAAUACGGAGUGGCAGACGGGUGAGUAACACGUGGGAACAUACCCUUCGGUUCGGAAUAACUCAGGGAAACUUGAGCUAAUACCGGAUACGUCCGCGAGGAGAAAGAUUCAUCGCCGGAGGAUUGGCCCGCGUCUGAUUAGCUUGUUGGUGAGGUAAUGGCUCACCAAGGCGACGAUCAGUAGCUGGUCUGAGAGGAUGAUCAGCCACAUUGGGACUGAGACACGGCCCAAACUCCUACGGGAGGCAGCAGUGGGGAAUAUUGGACAAUGGGCGCAAGCCUGAUCCAGCCAUGCCGCGUGAGUGAUGAAGGCCCUAGGGUUGUAAAGCUCUUUUACCCGGGAAGAUAAUGACUGUACCGGGAGAAUAACGCCCCGGCUAACUUCGUGCC
rnacentral:rRNA from 1 species